AUUUUAGAUGUGCAGCUGAAGCACAAGGGUUCUGAUACAGCCCUCAUCCAGGAAAAAUAUGCAGCUUAGAUUGGAUCAUCCAAAUGUGUCCUCGACUGGCUGUGUUAGCUAAAGCCCAUUGCAGCACUCACAGAAGGCCUCUGGAUGGGAAGGCACUUACAGGUUCAAUCACUGAAGUGAAAUUAACUUGACGUGAACCCAUCAUGAUGAAGUGGUCUUGCCAAGAAUGAAGCAUCAGAAUAACACAUGCUGGAGCCUUAUACAGUAUUGGAAUCCCAAGCCAUGUGGAGAACCCAGAAGAAUUUUGGACUUUUUUUCCUAACCUUGUCCUAGUUUGAAAUGAAGUUUCCAACUAUGAAUUUGUGAGCUGAAAGGAGUAAAGAAGCAUGAAUUUUUUCCUGCUACAUUUUUCUAUUACUUUUCUGUGAUCAACCUGUGAUUUUAUACACGUCCGGUUACACUGAAUAAGCAAUGGCAAAGAAAGAGUCUCUUCCCAUUCAUAGGUACAGCUUCCCAGAUUGUGACUAUAUCUCUGCUUGUAGUGCAUUGAAGGGG
rnacentral:lncRNA from 1 species